rnacentral:rRNA from 1 species
CAUUAACUGAAUCCAUAGGUUAAUGAGGCGAACCGGGGGAACUGAAACAUCUAAGUACCCCGAGGAAAAGAAAUCAACCGAGAUUCCCCCAGUAGCGGCGAGCGAACGGGGAGGAGCCCAGAGCCUGAAUCAGCAUGUGUGUUAGUGGAAGCGUCUGGAAAGGCGCGCGAUACAGGGUGACAGCCCCGUACACAAAAGCGCAUGUGCUGUGAGCUCGAUGAGUAGGGCGGGACACGUGGUAUCCUGUCUGAAUAUGGGGGGACCAUCCUCCAAGGCUAAAUACUCCUGACUGACCGAUAGUGAACCAGUACCGUGAGGGAAAGGCGAAAAGAACCCCGGCGAGGGGAGUGAAAAAGAACCUGAAACCGUGUACGUACAAGCAGUGGGAGCACCCUUUGGGUGUGACUGCGUACCUUUUGUAUAAUGGGUCAGCGACUUAUAUUCUGUAGCAAGGUUAACCGAAUAGGGGAGCCGGAGGGAAACCGAGUCUUAACCGGGCGUUAAGUUGCAGGGUAUAGACCCGAAACCCGGUGAUCUAGCCAUGGGCAGGUUGAAGGUUGGGUAACACUAACUGGAGGACCGAACCGACUAAUGUUGAAAAAUUAGCGGAUGACCUGUGGCUGGGGGUGAAAGGCCAAUCAAACCGGGAGAUAGCUGGUUCUCCCCGAAAGCUAUUUAGGUAGCGCCUCGUGAAUUCAUCUCCGGGGGUAGAGCACUGUUUCGGCUAGGGGGCCAUCCCGGCUUACCAACCCGAUGCAAACUGCGAAUACCGGAGAAUGUUAUCACGGGAGACACACGGCGGGUGCUAACGUCCGUCGUGAAGAGGGAAACAACCCAGACCGCCAGCUAAGGUCCCAAAGUCAUGGUUAAGUGGGAAACGAUGUGGGAAGGCCCAGACAGCCAGGAUGUUGGCUUAGAAGCAGCCAUCAUUUAAAGAAAGCGUAAUAGCUCACUGGUCGAGUCGGCCUGCGCGGAAGAUGUAACGGGGCUAAACCAUGCACCGAAGCUGCGGCAGCGACACUGUGUGUUGUUGGGUAGGGGAGCGUUCUGUAAGCCUGUGAAGGUGUGUCGUGAGGCAUGCUGGAGGUAUCAGAAGUGCGAAUGCUGACAUAAGUAACGAUAAAGCGGGUGAAAAGCCCGCUCGC